rnacentral:rRNA from 1 species
UGGGGAAUAUUGCGCAAUGGGGGAAACCCUGACGCAGCGACGCCGCGUGGGUGAUGAAGGCCUUCGGGUCGCAAAGCCCUGUCGGAGGGGAAGAAGGACUCUCGUGCAAAUAGUUCGAGGGGCUGACGGUACCCUUAGCGGAAGCACCGGCUACCUCCGUGCCAGCAGCCGCGGUAAUACGGAGGGUGCAAGCGUUGCUCGGAAUUACUGGGCGUAAAGGGCGUGUAGGCGGUUUCGUAUGUCUGGGGUGAAAGCCCCGGGCUCACCUCGGGAAGUGCGUCGGAAACUGCGAGACUAGAGUCCCGGAGAGGGAGGUGGAAUUCCAGGUGUAGCGGUGAAAUGCGUAGAUAUCUGGAAGAACACCGGUGGCGAAGGCGGCCUCCUGGACGGUGACUGACGCUGAGACGCGAAAGCGUGGGGAGCAA